rnacentral:rRNA from 1 species
CGUGUAGGCGGCUUGGUAAGUCAGAUGUGAAAGCCCAGGGCUCAACCCUGGAAGUGCAUUUGAUACUGCCAUGCUUGAGUAUGGGAGAGGAGAGCGGAAUUCCCAGUGUAGAGGUGAAAUUCGUAGAUAUUGGGAGGAACACCCGUGGCGAAGGCGGCUCUCUGGACCAAUACUGACGCUGAGACGCGAAAGCGUGGGGAGCAAACAGGAUUAGAUACCCUGGUAGUC